GGUCAGUUUGGUUUUGUAUCGACUGUGCGAGAGUCAAGUGAAAUAUGAGAAGCUCCGGCUUUUGGAUUUUUCUGAAAGGAGAAUCCUCCCUCUCCAUUGGAUAUCCAGAAAUACAUUUGUCGCAGAAAGUUAGCAUCUAGGACUAUUUUUCUGCGACUGCUGACCACCAUCUUGAAAGAUAAUGAAGGAUUUACGGACAGUAUAAACGGAUUAGAAACAUGCAAAAACAUUCUUGAUGAAUUUAUCUCCAAGAAGAAUUCAAUUCAAUUAAAGCAUCGCCAAGACCAGCUGGCUAUCAAAGAGGACUUAGUAAAACAUCGAACCUCAGUGGCAGAGCUCCUGAGUGGAAAAUAUGAAGCCAGCAGUUACCCGUCGUCAACUCCACUGAUAUCCAUAGCAUAAGGUUGCCCGGAACAAAGCCAUUCCUUGUGCCCUGCAAUUCCAGUGUUUCCGGAUCUGGCUAGACUGUCAUCCAGAGACCAGUCAACGGCAAUGAGAACUUCAAUCGCAAAACUUUAAUCGACUUCUAACUAGGGUGCGAAGACCUCCGGCAGAUCUUCUUCCUUGGACUGGAAAAAAUCCAUCUAAUGAACCUAUCCCAGCCUCACGUUCUGUACAUCCAACUCAAAGAUGUUCUCGAUUCCAUCAUUUCAAAUUAGGAAACGAAGAGAAAGGCUACAAACCUGAAAUCGGUGGGUAGUGCACAGGAAGUUUUCCACAGACCGGGAUAAUGGCACUCCUGAGACACGAAAGGACUUCGAACCCUAGUUUUAGUUGGUCCACUGGCAAUUAAAGUUCUCAUUGCCGUUGACUCGUCUCUGGAUGACAGUCCAACCAGAUCCGGAAACACUGGAAUUACAAGGCACAAGGAAUGGGUCUGUUCCGUGCAAUAAGGUUGCUAUGGCUAUAAGUGGAUUUGCUAAAUGGGAGAUAACUGGGUGCCUCCCAAAUGUCCAUCAGCUUUUGUUUAAGGAAAUUCACUUGAUCCCCUAGUUGUCUGAUGUUCUCUCAAGUUUUCUUUUCUCUGAUGUUCUCUCAAGUUUUUUUAUAAAUCAAAAUGUGAAAUAUACGAUUACUACACUUUGUAUGUUUUUUUCGAGAUAACAAACAAUUCAAAUUA